CCUACGGGAGGCUGCAGUGAGGAAUAUUGGUCAAUGGACGAGAGUCUGAACCAGCCAAGUAGCGUGAAGGAUGACUGCCCUAUGGGUUGUAAACUUCUUUUAUAAAGGAAUAAAACGAGGCACGUGUGCCUUUUUGCAUGUACUUUAUGAAUAAGGAUCGGCUAACUCCGUGCCAGCAGCCGCGGUAAUACGGAGGAUCCGAGCGUUAUCCGGAUUUAUUGGGUUUAAAGGGAGCGUAGAUGGGUUGUUAAGUCAGGUGUGAAAGUUUGCGGCUCAACCGUAAAAUUGCAAUUGAUACUGGCAGUCUAGAGUACAGUUGAGGUAGGCGGAAUUCGUGGUGUAGCGGUGAAAUGCUUAGAUAUCACGAAGAACCCCGAUUGCGAAGGCAGCUUACUAAACUGUGACUGACAUUGAUGCUCGAAAGUGUGGGUAUCAAACAGGAUUAGAUACCCCGGUAGUC
rnacentral:rRNA from 1 species